rnacentral:rRNA from 1 species
UACGUAGGGGGCAAGCGUUGUUCGGAAUUACUGGGCGUAAAGGGCGCGUAGGCGGCACAGCAAGUCGGGAGUGAAAGCCCGGGGCUCAACCCCGGAAUGGCUUUCGAAACUGCUGAGCUAGAGUACAGAAGGGGCAACCGGAAUUCCCAGUGUAGCGGUGAAAUGCGCAGAUAUCAGGAAGAACACCCGUGGCUAAGGCGGUUCUCUAGUACGGUACUGACGCUGAGACGCGAAAGCGUGGGGAGCGAACAGG